GAGUUUGAUCAUGGCUCAGGAUGAACGCUGGCGGCAUGGAUUAGGCAUGCAAGUCGAACGAAGAAUCUGAAGCUUGCUUCAGAGGACGAGUGGCGAAAGGGUGAGUAACGCGUGAGUAAUUUACCCUCAAGUUGGGAAUAACACUUGGAAACGAGUGCUAAUACCGAAUGUGAAUAUAAAGGCGCCUGUCUUAAUAUUUAAAGAUUUAUCGCUUGAGGAUGAGCUCGCGUCCCAUUAGCUAGUUGGUAGGGUAACGGCUUACCAAGGCAACGAUGGGUAGGUGGUCUGAGAGGAUGGUCACCCACACUGGGACUGAGACACUGCCCAGACUCCUACGGGAGGCUGCAGUCGAGAAUCUUCCGCAAUGCGCGAAAGCGUGACGGAGCAAUGCCGCGUGAUUGAUGAAGGCCUUAGGGUUGUAAAGAUCUGUCAACAGGGACGAAUAAAUGACGGUACCUGUAGAGGAAGCCACGGCUAACUACGUGCCAGCAGCCGCGGUAAUACGUAGGUGGCGAGCGUUAUCCGGAUUCAUUGGGCGUAAAGGGUCCGCAGGGGGUUUGCUAAGUCUGAUGUGAAAUCCCAAGGCUCAACCUUGGAACUGCAUUGG
rnacentral:rRNA from 1 species